CCACCAGGGAGGUGUAACCGCAUGGAAGGAAGGGAAAGUGAAGGAUCAAGCUGCAAGUCAAUUAUGAAUGUAGCCAGGAUUCCAGCCUAAUGCCUUGCCAGGUAGAUCACAUUGUCUUCCAUUAAAGAUGACUACUGUCCGGUCAAAGGAGAUUGAACUUGGGAUAUCCAAAAGUGAAUGUUUGUGUUUCCACAGCCUGAGCUAAAAAAGCUGAAGUAGACAACUGUGAAAUACUCGCAUCAUCUGUGGAUCAGACAUAGGGAAGCACAGUGGCCGAAGGUCUAUGGAAGAUUUGGGAAAUCUUGAUGCUCAGCAGCUGUUUUUCCAGAUGCCAUGGAAAGAACAAAGAAAUAAAUCUGACAACUAUAGAAUGAAAAAGAAAAUACUGAAAUUAUUCCAGUUUAAGUUAACAAUGGAUUUGAGUGCUUCCCUCACUAUCCUAAUUUAAGACAAGCUCUGAAGUGUCUUAUAUCCACUGAAGUUGGUAGUGAGUGUGGCCAAUUUUUCUUCAGGGCCCAAUAAAACUUGUGAUAAUGGUAUGUAAGUUUGAAUAACAAUAAAAAUAUGUUUAUCUAUGUAUACAUAUAGAAGCUAAGAGAUGGAAAUACAUAAAUGUAUCCAUCCAAAAUUUUUCUUCUGAAAAAAGUUUGGAUGAUUUUACCUUUAUGUUGCAACUUAUAAUUGCCUUAUAGAACUGGAACUAUACAAUUAGAAUGAGUAAAAUGAGAUAUAUAUGCAACACUAUCAUGUAGAAAAUCUAUACCAGUUCAUGUGCCACAUUAUCACCAUAGGGUACUGUCAGUGGUGUGAGUGAAGACAGAGCCAAAAUAUAAGCACAAAUAAGAACAUUUUUCAUAGCUAUUCUUGAGGAAUUGUUAGCAUUAUGUCCCAAUAACACCAGAAAUAGAAACUGAAUUUCAUUUCUACUUCUAUCUGCAUUCCAUAGUUCCCUGUCCCCGCAACCCCCAAAUAACAGGUGGAAGGUUCCCAGGAUAUUUACCUAAGGACCUUGUAUGAACCCUAUUACUAUGGUCUCUGAGAAUGUAACCAUGUUUCAUACAUAAAUCCUAGGUACCAUGCCACUUAAUGGAUGCCUUAAUUGUGAACUGACCACUUAAAUU